GAGAGAGAGAGAGAGAGAGAGAGAGAGGUGUUUGUGCAUUCACAUGUAUAUAUAUAUAUAUAUAUAUAUAUAUAUAUUUACAUGUGAAUGCACAAACACCUCUCUCUCUCUCUCUCUCUCUCUCUCA
rnacentral:miRNA from 1 species